GGAUCAGUGGCGAACGGGUGAGUAACACGUGAGCACCUGCCCCUGACUCUGGGAUAAGCGCUGGAAACGGCGUUAAUACUGGAUAUGUGACGUGACCGCAUGGUCUGCGUCUGGAAAGAAUUUCGGUUGGGGAUGGGCUCGCGGCCUAUCAGCUUGUUGGUGAGGUAAUGGCUCACCAAGGCGUCACGGGUAGCCGGCCUGAGAGGGUGACCGGCCACACUGGGACUGAGACACGGCCCAGACUCCUACGGGAGGCAGCAGUGGGGAAUAUUGCACAAUGGGCGCAAGCCUGAUGCAGCAACGCCGCGUGAGGGACGACGGCCUUCGGGUUGUAAACCUCUUUUAGCAGGGAAGAAGCGAAAGUGACGGUACCUGCAAAAAAGCGCCGGCUAACUACGUGCCACAGCCGCGGUAUACGUAGGGCGCAGCGUUAUCCGAAUUAUUGGCCGUAAAAGCUCGUAGGCGGCUUGCCGUUUGCUGUGAAAUCCGGGAGGGCUCCAACCUUCCGGGCCUGGCAGGGGGGUUACGGGCCAACUAAAGUGCGGAAGGGGAAUGGGAAUUCCUGGGNGUACGGGGAAUGCCCAAAUUUUCAGGAGGACC
rnacentral:rRNA from 1 species